rnacentral:misc_RNA from 1 species
AAUCAUUUUGUUAUCAAAAUAUCACAAGCCCGAACUCAGAUCCACCUUCUUCCUACCCUGUAAUCACAAUUUCUGUCAAAUUCACAAGCUUUCUUUUUUUUUUUUUUUUUUUUUUUUUUUAAAAAGGGUUUAAUUUGUAUGAACUUGGGCAAGAUCAACAACAAAUGCAAUCCAAAACCCUAAAUUUACCUCCAGCUCUUACCCUUUUCCCAUUCCUUAAACCCCCGUCCAGAACCCUGAUUUUCUACCAAAUCUUCGUCCUAGUCAUCACCUUCUUCGCGUACGCCUCCUUCCAUGCCUCUCGAAAGCCGCCCAGUAUCGUCAAGAGCAUUCUUGGACCAACUGUUCAGUUAAAUUCUUCGAUAAUUCAAUCCAAUUUAAGCUCUAUGGAUACUGGUUGGCCUCCAUUCAAUGGUCCGGAGGGAACUCAUCGCCUUGGGGAGAUUGAUCUUGCUUUUCUUUCAGCUUAUUCGAUCGGGAUGUAUUUUGCGGGACAUGUUGGUGAUAGGAUUGAUUUGAGAUUGUUUCUUGUUUUUGGUAUGGUAGGUAGUGGUCUUUUCACUAUCAUUUUUGGGUUAGGGUAUUGGUUUGAUAUACAUUCGUUAGGAUUUUUUGUGGGUAUACAGAUUUUGUGUGGAUUGU